CCUACGGGAGGCAGCAGUGAGGAAUAUUGGUCAAUGGACGGAAGCCUGAACCAGCCAAGCCGCGUGCAGGAUGAAGGCUCUAUGAUUUGUAAACUUCUUUUGUAUGGGAAUAAACUUAAAAACGUGUUCCUUUUUGUAUGUACCAUAUGAAUAAGCAUCGGCUAACUCCGUGCCAGCAGCCGCGGUAAUACGGAGGAUCCGAGCGUUAUCCGGAUUUAUUGGGUUUAAAGGGUGCGUAGGUGGUUAAUUAAGUCAGUUGUGAAAGUUUGUGGCUCAACCAUAAAAUUGCAGUUGAAACUGGUUGACUUGAGUACAUUAGAGGUAGGCGGAAUGCGUGGUGUAGCGGUGAAAUGCAUAGAUAUCACGAAGAACUCCGAUUGCGAAGGCAGUUUACUAAACUAUAACUGACACUGAAGCUCGAAAGUGUGGGGAUCAAACAGGAUUAGAUACCCGAGUAGUC
rnacentral:rRNA from 1 species